rnacentral:rRNA from 1 species
AACGAACGCUGGCGGCAUGCCUAACACAUGCAAGUCGAACGAGACCUUCGGGUCUAGUGGCGCACGGGUGCGUAACACGUGGGAAUCUGCCCUUGGGUUCGGAACAACAGUUGGAAACGACUGCUAAUACCGGAUGAUGACUUCGGUCCAAAGAUUUAUCGCCCAAGGAUGAGCCCGCGUAGGAUUAGCUUGUUGGUGAGGUAAAAGCGCACCAAGGCGACGAUCCUUAGCUGGUCUGAGAGGAUGAGCAGCCACACUGGGACUGAGACACGGCCCAGACUCCUACAGGAGGCAGCAGUGGGGAAUAUUGGACAAUGGGCGAAAGCCUGAUCCAGCAAUGCCGCGUGAGUGAUGAAGGCCUUAGGGUUGUAAAGCUCUUUUACCCGGGAUGAUAAUGACAGUACCGGGAGAAUAAGCCCCGGCUAACUCCGUGCCAGCAGCCGCGGUAAUAC